rnacentral:ncRNA from 1 species
CAUGGGGCUGCAAGGAGGCACUGAGGCCCCAUCUAAUCGAUAACCCAAGAUACACCUGACCACUUCUUGCCAAAAACAGCCUACAUACCACCGUCACCAGCUCACCUCUUCUGAGAGUGCCACAGUGAGCACAAUCGCCCUAACCCCGCUAACAAGACAGGCCAAGGUAUAGCCUAUGAAGUGGAAGAAAUGGGCUACAUUUUCUAGCCUAGAAACUCUCACGAAAGGGGGCAUGAAACAGCCCCUAGAAGGCGGAUUUAGCAGUAAAGCGGGAUAACAUAAGCCCCCUUUAAGCUGUCUCUGAGGCACGUACAUACCGCCCGUCACCCUCCUCACAAGCUCUAAACUAUCAAUAAAUAAUAUGCCCACUUGCUAAAGAUGAGGUAAGUCGUAACAAGGUAAGUGUACCGGAAGGUAUACUUAGCACACCAAGACG